rnacentral:pre_miRNA from 1 species
UGUUGACGGCGGGGAUGUUAGUUUAUUGGCACCAACGUUAUCGCCGUCUUCA